rnacentral:rRNA from 1 species
UAGGGAAUCUUCCGCAAUGGGCGAAAGCCUGACGGAGCAACGCCGCGUGAGUGAAGAAGGAUUUCGGUUCGUAAAGCCCUGUUGUUAGGGAAGAAUGAUUGUGUAGUAACUAUACACAGUAGAGACGGUACCUAACCAGAAAGCCACGGCUAACUACGUGCCAGCAGCCGCGGUAAUACGUAGGUGGCAAGCGUUGUCCGGAAUUAUUGGGCGUAAAGCGCGCGCAGGUGGUUUAAUAAGUCUGAUGUGAAAGCCCACGGCUCAACCGUGGAGGGUCAUUGGAAACUGUUAAACUUGAGUGCAGGAGAGAAAAGUGGAAUUCCUAGUGUAGCGGUGAAAUGCGUAGAGAUUAGGAGGAACACCAGUGGCGAAGGCGGCUUUUUGGCCUGUAACUGACACUGAGGCGCGAAAGCGUGGGGAACAAACAGGAUUAGAUACCCUGGUAGUCCACGCCGUAAACGAUGAGUGCUAAGUGUUGGUCUCAUAAGAGAUCAGUGCUGCAGCUAACGCAUUAAGCACUCCGCCUGGGGAGUACGACCGCAAGGUUG